UCUCUUGCUGGAAGCGUGGAGGCAAGUCUGUGCUUGAAGCCUGCAGAUGCCCAAGGCUUGAAGCUUGUAGGUGCUGGACUUCGGACCUGGCAGAAGCUGGUGGAUGUUGGGGGUACAGAAGCCGGUGGACAUCUGUAUUUGGAAGAUGCUGGAUUCUGUCUUGAGGCGGAAGAAGCUGGCUGAUGCCUGCAGAUGCAAGUUGGUGGAAGUCCCCCUUCAGAAACCUGUUUCCGGGAGCUUGUGGAUGGAAGCUGGGGAGUGUAUGAUCAUGUGAAUGGAUGGGACGUCUGAAGUUGGUGCCGUUUUCUUGAGGUGACGACCCCAGAAAGCGAUCCAGGGAAUCUGUGGAUGUAGCGAAACCUGCAGCUGUCCAUUGCCUCCUAGGACUUGGUUUCCAGACCCCUCAGAAGCUUUGUUGCCCUCUGUACCUGUUGUGUGGUGUGAAGCUACAGAAGAAGUUUUCCCUCCCAAUUCAUUAUUCCCUUAUUUAUUGUUAUAUUUUAUAAACAAUAAAGUCCCUUCCUCCCCA